rnacentral:rRNA from 1 species
GGGGGGGGGGGGGGGGGGGGCUGGGAGAGGGAGGUCGAGGGAGGAGACGGGGGGCGGGCGGCUCGGGCGGGGGCGGCGGACGGGGGAGGAACCCGUGGAGAACCUACCUAUAAGACUGGGAUAACUUCGGGAAACGGGGGCUAAUACCGGAUAAUAUAUUGAACGGCAUGGUUCAAUAGUGAAAGACGGUUUUGCGGUCACUUAUAGAUGGAUCCGCGCCGCAUUAGCUAGUUGGGAAGGUAACGGCUUACCAAGGCAACGAUGCGUAGCCGACCUGAGAGGGUGAUCGGCCACACUGGAACUGAGACACGGUCCAGACUCCUACGGGAGGCAGCAGUAGGGAAUCUUCCGCAAUGGGCGAAAGCCUGACGGAGCAACGCCGCGUGAGUGAUGAAGGUCUUCGGAUCGUAAAACUCUGUUAUUAGGGAAGAACAAAUGUGUAAGUAACUAUGCACGUCUUGACGGUACCUAAUCAGAAAGCCACGGCUAACUACGUG